UACGGAGGGUGCAAGCGUUAAUCGGAAUUACUGGGCGUAAAGCGCACGCAGGUGGCUGAGAAAGUCGAUUGUGAAAGCCCUGGGCUUAACCUGGGAAUUGCAGUCGAAACUACUUGGCUAGAGUAUGGGAGAGGGUAGUGGAAUUCCCGGUGUAGCGGUGAAAUGCGUAGAUAUCGGGAGGAAGACCAGUGGCGAAGGCGGAUCUCUGGAGAGUUCCUGACGCUGAGGAGCGAAAGCAUGGGGAGCGAACAGG
rnacentral:rRNA from 1 species